UACAUUGGGUCUACUGCACAAAUUACAGGGCUCCAAGUGUCUUAUGAGAGCAGGACUUGGGCUGACCAUGUCUCUCUGCCCUCACCCAUGCUCUGCUCUGAUUUCAGAUCCUAAGUGUGAACGUGAAGUCCCCAGCCCUGCUGCUGAGCCAGUUGCUGCCCUACAUGGAGAACAGGUAUGGCAGGGCGGGGGUGGGGACCAGUCGGAGUUGGGGACCUGAGGUGGGCACAGAAAUACAGUCGGUAGCACAGCCAGUAGUGGGUAGAGGACAGAAGAGGUCUGGGAUCUCCACAUCCCUCAUCUUCUUGUCCUGCCUCCCCAUCUGUGUGGCUGCCAUUCCCAAUUCCAGUGGCUGCAGGAUGAGAGUAGUAUUCCAGGGGCCCAGGCAUAGCCUCCUUGGCCUUGACAUCAGCAGGUUUGGGACAAGGCUAUGCUUUAACUCCUUGACCUUGUGGGCUGGUCAUUGUCACCUUACCUGCUCUCUGUUCUUACCAACUUAAAACCAAUGACAGGGUUAGCCCCAUUCCUCUCCAUAGGAAAAAGCCUGUCCCAGACCUCUCCUCAUGCCUGCGCUUGGUCUCCAGGGACCCUGCCUGUGUUCCAGGUCCUGCAGAUCUGACUGUACCCCUCACAGACACACCCUUAGGAACUGGCCAGGGGCUGUCUUCAGUAGAAGGAAAGUUCCUGACUGUCACUUCUGGUCUCCCUUACCCCAUCUGCUCCUUAGAGGUUGCUCAUUGAUAGGCACUCACCAUCAGCCUUGGGUGCCUCUUCACAAAGCCCACCCUGCCCUCUCCUUCAAGCACCUGGCAAGAGAGGAAGCAGAAGAUAAGGGUUCUGAGCAUGGACAUCGUAUUUAUGAGAAAUAGGCAUGGAAUCCUAGCUCUGCCGUGUAUUGGCUGGUACUAAACCUUUCUGAGCCUCAGUUUUCUGAACUCUGAGAUGGGGACAGUAAUAGGACCUGUGUUGCUUCUGUGAGGGUUGCAUCAUUUAAUGAACUCAUGAUAGUGUCACCAUCAGUGGUAAGCUCUUAGCUUCAGCUUCUCUUAUGUUUGUCUUGUCUCAGGAGGGGUGCUGUCAUCCUGGUCUCUUCCAUUGCAGCUUAUAAUCCAGUAGUGGUAAGUGCUUGGUCCUUGUGCUCCUGAGUGGUAUAGGGUGAGGGGCAACUUUGUUCUUUUCCUCAGAGCCUUACAGACAAAGUGCCUGGGACAGACCCCCACCAUCCUCCUGCUGCCCUGGGCUGAGCUUGUCUCCAUGUGGGUGGGAGGGCUGCUGGGCCUGUGAGAUCCCUGUAGGUGAGAAAUCCAACUGAUGCUUUCCCCCACUCUCCCAUAUCCUAAUCACUCUGUCAAUUCCCUUCCCAGGCGCUGGGUGUCUACAAUGUCAGCAAGACAGCGCUGCUGGGUCUCACUAGAACACUGGCAUUGGAGCUGGCCCCCAAGGACAUCCGGGUAAACUGCGUGGUUCCAGGAAUUAUCAAAACUGACUUCAGCAAAGUGGUGAGGAUUGGGUGUGUCUUCCAUCUCCCAGUCUGGCUCAGUGGGAACCCUUCCCAGUGAAUAAGGGAUCAAGGGGUGACUGAAUCCUUAGGUCAGCAUGCCUAUGACUGAGGUCCUCAUUGUUCUCUGAACUCAGCCAUGGUGCAGUCCAUCCAUCCUGAAAAGAUGCUCCUUCUUUUGAGAAGGGCAAAGCUGCCCUAGGUGUUCUGCCUGGUGGCCUUCCCGGGGCCCUGCCCAUCUUGUUUUAGUAGCACUGACUCCUUCAUUUCUUCCCUUUGCCCAGUUUCAUGGGAAUGAGUCUCUCUGGAAGAACUUCAAGGAACAUCAUCAGCUGCAGAGGCAAGUGGGGUUUGGAGAUUUGGUGGUCCAUGUGUGGCUAGGCAGGGGCAGUUGAGUCUAUUGCAAGAGCAGACCCCUCCCUGUCAUCUGGCCAUUGUUUUUGCUGAAAUCUGGAGUCCACAUGGCCCUGGAGGGUGCAAGUAGCCCUGCUGCAUCCACCUUGUUCCCCAUGGAGCCCACUCCCACCUGUCAUCCGUGAGCCCCAGAGCAGCAGAAUCAGAGUACAAGAUGCUUGACACUGUGUCCUUCUUCCAUCCAGGAUUGGGGAGUCAGAGGACUGUGCAGGAAUCGUGUCCUUCCUGUGCUCUCCAGAUGCCAGCUACGUCAACGGGGAGAACAUUGCGGUGGCAGGCUACUCCACUCGGCUCUGAGAGGAGUGGGGGCGGCUGCGUAGCUGUGGUCCCAGGCCCAGGAGCCUGAGGGGGUGUCUAGGUGAUCAUUUGGAUCUGGAGGCAGAGUCUGCCAUUCUGCCAGACUAGCAAUUUGGGGGCUUACUCAUGCUAGGCUUGAGGAAGAAGAAAAACGCUUCGGCAUUCUCCUUAGGACUUAUCUGCUUGUAGAUUUGGCUGAUCCAAUUAACAUGUGGGGUUCUUGGUGUGGGUCUGGGGAGCUGAAGGAUUUUAUGGAGCUGGUGCUUUGGAGGAAUCUUAAGGGAAAGGAGUAGAAGCUCAGGCCUUUGAAGGAUUUCAGCUCCUCCUCUCUGUAAUUUGUGCUUUAAGCAUUUUUUUUCCUAAAAUAAACUCAAAUUUAUCCUCAA
rnacentral:lncRNA from 1 species